UUUUAAGUGCUUUAUCAAAAGGAGUGUUUCAAGCUAAAAAAAUGGAAAAAUGUAGGUGAUUCUAUAACUUUUGACAGGAAUUACAGGUAUGCAUGACCUUUUCAAUAAUGAUUCAGAUGAGAGCACAGAUUGGAUAAUUAAUUUGAGUCUUGCAAAAGUUCCAGCAAAUUUUUUUCCUGGAUAGAUCCUAUAUUGGGAGGACAUAUCAAUAUAAGAGAUGAGUUGCUCAACAUUAAGAAAAUGCCACAUCGUAAAAACACUGAGGGUUUACCCAAGGGUACAUUACUUUCAAAGAAGGUUUCAUGAUCUAAUACCAAGAUUCAAAAGAUUGACAGGUAACUCGAGCUCUU